rnacentral:rRNA from 1 species
CGAUACUUGGUGUGAAUUGCAGAAUUCAGUGAAUCAUCGAAUCUUUGAACGCACCUUGCGCUCCUUGGUAUUCCGAGGAGCAUGCCUGUUUGAGUGUCAUGAAAUUCUCAACCUACAAGCCUUUUCGGAGGUCCUUGUACGGCUUGGACUUGGAGGGUCAUUGUCGGCAGUGAUGUCGGCUCCUCUCAAACGCAUUAGCUAGUUCUCGCGGAACGGCUUUCGGUGUGAUAAUUGUCUACGCCGUGGUCGUGCCGGGUACAUGGACAAGCUUCUAAACCGUCACUCCUUGUGAGAGACACAUAUCUUGACAUCUGACCUCAAAUCAGGUAGGACUGGCCCGCUGAACUUAAGCAUAUCAAUAAGCGGAGGAA